GGGUUGUGAGGUUAAGCGACUAAGCGUACACGGUGGAUGCCCUGGCAGUCAGAGGCGAUGAAGGGCGUGCUAAUCUGCGAUAAGCGCCGGUAAGGUGAUAUGAACCGUUAUAACCGGCGAUACCCGAAUGGGGAAACCCAGUGUGAUUCGUCACACUAUCAUUAACUGAAUCCAUAGGUUAAUGAGGCGAACCGGGGGAACUGAAACAUCUAAGUACCCCGAGGAAAAGAAAUCAACCGAGAUUCCCCCAGUAGCGGCGAGCGAACGGGGAGGAGCCCAGAGCCUGAAUCAGCAUGUGUGUUAGUGGAAGCGUCUGGAAAGGCGCGCGAUACAGGGUGACAGCCCCGUACACAAAAGCGCAUGUGCUGUGAGCUCGAUGAGUAGGGCGGGACACGUGGUAUCCUGUCUGAAUAUGGGGGGACCAUCCUCCAAGGCUAAAUACUCCUGACUGACCGAUAGUGAACCAGUACCGUGAGGGAAAGGCGAAAAGAACCCCGGCGAGGGGAGUGAAAAAGAACCUGAAACCGUGUACGUACAAGCAGUGGGAGCACCCUUUGGGGUGUGACUGCGUACCUUUUGUAUAAUGGGUCAGCGACUUAUAUUCUGUAGCAAGGUUAACCGUAUAGGGGAGCCGGAGGGAAACCGAGUCUUAACCGGGCGUUAAGUUGCAGGGUAUAGACCCGAAACCCGGUGAUCUAGCCAUGGGCAGGUUGAAGGUUGGGUAACACUAACUGGAGGACCGAACCGACUAAUGUUGAAAAAUUAGCGGAUGACCUGUGGCUGGGGGUGAAAGGCCAAUCAAACCGGGAGAUAGCUGGUUCUCCCCGAAAGCUAUUUAGGUAGCGCCUCGUGAAUUCAUCUCCGGGGGUAGAGCACUGUUUCGGCUAGGGGGCCAUCCCGGCUUACCAACCCGAUGCAAACUGCGAAUACCGGAGAAUGUUAUCACGGGAGACACACGGCGGGUGCUAACGUCCGUCGUGAAGAGGGAAACAACCCAGACCGCCAGCUAAGGUCCCAAAGUCAUGGUUAAGUGGGAAACGAUGUGGGAAGGCCCAGACAGCCAGGAUGUUGGCUUAGAAGCAGCCAUCAUUUAAAGAAAGCGUAAUAGCUCACUGGUCGAGUCGGCCUGCGCGGAAGAUGUAACGGGGCUAAACCAUGCACCGAAGCUGCGGCAGCGACACUCAGGUGUUGUUGGGUAGGGGAGCGUUCUGUAAGCCUGUGAAGGUGUGUCGUGAGGCAUGCUGGAGGUAUCAGAAGUGCGAAUGCUGACAUAAGUAACGAUAAAGCGGGUGAAAAGCCCGCUCGCCGGAAGACCAA
rnacentral:rRNA from 1 species